rnacentral:lncRNA from 1 species
UUAAGUUAAAACUUCAACAGUCCCGACCGCCGCUGAAGUUCAAAUAUUCUUGGCGAGGCUCCAAAUAUCUCCUCCUCUCCUCUUCCUCCUCCAAAAAAUCAUAGAUUUUCCAUCAAGAGAGGCUCGCGCUUCCGAUGCGGCGAGCAAGGCCAUCUCAAAAAAGAUUGCCGGAAUGCAUUAGGUUGUCUUUGCUGCAAAGGAAUCGGCCAUUCCUCCCAAAGCUGCAACGCUCUUCCUUGAUUCUCUCCCAGAUCCUCCAUCAAGGUGGACACUAGGCCUGAUCUGGAGGCCGGGGAUCGCUUUGUUGAAGCUUUUUGUUUUGGAAUCAUUCAAGUUUGUACCUUAAAUGACCACCCCAUCUUCUCCUCCCAACUGGUGAAGGGUCUUCAUCAGAUCCAUCCCCGUUUUCUCGCCCCCCAAUCGGUUCCUCAUCCCAUUUCCUAGCAGGAAGGAUGUGCUACAAGCUGCCCUAGAAGGGGUGUGUGUGUGUGUGUGUGUAUUACAUUCCUAAUUUCUCCUUCUCCAUAUCCCCGUGGAUCGUUCAUCAAGGAAAUAGCUCUGUUAGGCUGGGUCUGAGGGUCCAGAUCCGUAUCUCGAGCCUCCCCUUCUUCUGUAAAAACCUCAACUCGGUAAGGCGUAUUUUCUCAGGCUGUGGAGUUCUCGAUAGGGUUUUUUCUACAUCUACCUUGGAUCAGGAUUUCAUUCCCAUUGCCAUCCUCUGCGAGAAUUUGAAGUUCAUUCCUAUUAAGUUGAAUGUGGUUUUCAGUCGCAUGCUCUAUUCUUCUUGCGUUGAGAUUGAUCUGAGCAGUGCCUUCCUCCCCUUCAGACCUCUCCCUUCUACAAGACUUCGAAGACAAGUGGUUCAGGAUUGUUAGCUUAGCAAUACAUUAACUUAGUUAGUGACAUGAUUGUACAUGACCUGGCAUUAUAGCCGUGGUAAUAUAGCUAUUGUAACUGUAUAUGAUGGCCACCUUCCCCUUAUAAAAGGUGGGCUAUGGUUGUUUCCUAAUGUAGCAAGGAAGGAUCUUUUUUUCUCUUCAUCUAUUCCUCUCCUCCUUUUUUUUCUACAUGGUAUCAGAGCCUCAGAGAUCCUAAGGCAGUUCUUUUCUUUGGAUCUCUCUUUCUCGUAGGCUACUGCCGGGCACUUCUUCU